UUGUCGCUUGUUGUCGCUAAAAUAAUUCUUGUUGUCGCUUGUUGACGCUUGUUGUCGCUUCUUGACGCUUGUUGUCGCUAAUUAGUGAGACCCGUUCAGGUUGCCACUCGCACUGGCGGAGAUUAGCACCAGUUUAAACAUAAAUCCUGCCUAAACCACGGGAUGACAGUUUCGUAGAAAUGACAUGGGUGAAUACCAUGGAGAUGGUGUCCCAUUUAAGUUGGAAACAAGAUAAAAAGGUUUGAUCAUAUUAAAUUUAAGUCAUUAGAAAUCUGGCUAUCAAAAACUAAAGGGACAUAACUAAAUUCAAUAACCGAAUAAGAGUUUAAAGUUACAGAAACCAUGUGAUGUUGUACUUGCAUUGGACUAAAUAACAAUGAAAGUAUGUAUUUAUCAAAUAUAAUGCUAUUAUUUUCAAAAGAAUAUGUAAUGGAGUAGAACGGAAACUAUAAAUGUUAAUAAAGGGGGCGGAUCAAAAGUUUUUAAAGUGUUUUAAAAUCCAGGACAACUGAACUCAACUCCAUAGGCAAAUCCAGGAGGGCCCCCCUUUCAUGGGAAAAAUUUGGUUGAUUAUAUAGGGAAUCAUUGAAGCAUGACUGGUGUAGGCCCCCCUUAGGUCAGUCAGCGCCCCCCUCCCUUAGGAAAAGUUCUGGAUCCGCCACUGCACUCAGGCCAACCUUAAAAAUAUGUUUGUUUGCAGUUUUCCGACUGUACCUUCAGACUGAAGGGUCGGUAGGUAGGAAAAAUAUUUUAUUUUAUCAGCCAAAAUACAGUUUAAACAAGCAGUUACACUAAAAACCAAGUUUCUUGUGAAGAAAAAAAAAAACAUUUUAAAACAACAAACACUGGACAUGCUGAAAACCAACAUCAAAUGAACAGGCAUUUUCAGAUAAAAAAACUUUUUAACCAAAACUGAAACUUUAACGUAGUGUCAUUAUCCAAUUUAUGAUAUAAAAUAUGGUAUAAUUAUUAAAUACUGGAACACUUAUAAACAAGGAAUGUCAUUAUGACUGGAACUGUUUUAAAGAAAUAUAUUCAGACAUGUAUGCUUUUUGACUAGAAUGUUUUCAUGAGUAGAGUAUUUUCGUCAGAAAAUAUAGAUAUUAAAGAUUUAUAAGACCAUGUAUUAAAGUGUGUAUUUUUAAUAAAAAAAAUAACCAUUGAAUCUUCCUCAAUUGAAAAAAAGGUAACUUGAAAAAAAGUAUUAAGACAUUCGACUGUUUUUCAUAUUUCUAACAUAUUUUAUAAUAUGUGAUAAGGACAUUUAGGUUAUAUUUUUGCCAGGCUUUAAUGAAAACCAAAGAAAUUAAAGUUUGGGGUGAAAUCCAUAGCACCCCAUUAAAAGUAAAUGGUCUGUACUGAAAAUGUUUUUUUAAUGCAUAAAAAAAUUGGCAGCAUAGCUCCUAAGGACAUGUUUAAUUGAUUUCACACAGGCAACACUGUUUUGGGUAUAUUUAAUAUUGUAAGAGAAGAGAAUAAUGCAAUGAGUGGGGCAGCCCCCCUUAUCCUAAAGGAGCAUACUCUCCAUAGGCAAAGGGUUGCUGGCAUGGAUGGCCCCCUUUCCGAUGUGGGUUUCAACAAAUUUGGUAUGAUGUCGAAAUUAUUACUGGGAGUAUCAGAUCUGUAAGACAUGGAUCGUGUCUGGAUGUAGGCCCCCCUAAUAGGUCUUAAAAUUCAGUCGGGAGGAUUUUCAAGGGUCGGUCGGUAAACUGCAAACAAACAAUAUUUUAAUUUAAGCCUCAGUCAUUGCUUAAUCGCCCCAGACCAACUCUUACAUGUAAUACUCUCUACCAACUUUCAUUACUUUCUACCAAUUUGCUUCACUCAUGUUUUUCUUCUGUUCUGUUAUAAGUCAGAGUCUGCAAUAGACCACAUACUUUCAAGUUUUUGCAUUUCCAUCAAAAACUGGUUUUGGUGAAAAUCAUUUCUGCGUUUAGGGGCAUUACCACUUUUGUCCCUGGUUGAACGAGUGGUUGAAAAAAUAGGAUGCUAUAUUGCAUAAAUAAUUUGGCAAAUUAAAUUCUUAUAAUAUGCACUGCUGUCAUUGGGGUAUUUGAUCCAGUACUUAUGGAACAAAUAUUAUUUCUAGGUCAUCCACACAGGUACUUGUUUCUAUCCAUGGGAAGGUCGACUAUCCAUAUAAAUAGAAGCUUCUAUUUACAUGGAUAGUCGACCUUCCCAUGCAUAGAAACAAGCGUCUGUGGUCCUCCAGCUGCAUAAAUUUAAUGAAGAUCGCAAUGACGCAUAAUGCACUUUUCUAGCGCAGGCAUACAGGCGAUCCUCUCUCUAGUAAAUGAAGACAAAAAGGUGCCCAUAAUGGAACUUUUCUGGUGUAAAACUUAACUUGAAAGUGGUCUUUUGCGUGUUAUUGAGUCUUAAACAAAAAAACAACACUACUUUGGCCAAUAACAAUGAUUAAAAAAGUUAAAGUCUGGGGACCUUGAUGGUACGUAUUUACAUAAAAAUCAGUAAGUAUAUAUAUUUACUAGGGAUGAUAACUCGCUCGUAAGGCCUAUUACUUAAGUACAAUGUACAAUUUUAGGUAAAACUCAGAUACUCAUUUGCCUUCUAUAUUACUAAAUUCAAUCAUUGUCACAUUGCAUCCUAUUGUAGUAUUUUAAUCAGCAUGACUUGAUGACUUUAUGAGAUGACAAUACAAAUACUAAAAAUCUAGACUUAAAAUAAGGCGUACAUAUACAUGUAGGUACAGCUUUCAAUUUGAUUGCUGGCAUGAUGUAAAAAACAGUGAAUCAAAGAUUAUAUCAACAUUAUUUAUAACUAAUAUAGGACAAUGCUGUUGAUUAAAAAUUACUCCAUUCCAGGCCCUUUUUUUCUUUCUAAAUAAUUAAUAUUACCAAUAAUAAGUUCCAGGUCAACAGGUUCAAACAGAAAGAUUUCGAAAGCAGAGAAAACUGUGCAUCUUAUAAUCAGCAUGACUAUUCAUACUUUAUCAGAUGACAAUACCAAUAAUAAAAAUCCAGGCUAAAAUAAGUCUUACACAUAGUUAUAUACUUUAAUUCAGUUAAGGACCCGCAAUAUCACAGACCUGUGUGUUCUAGUAUAUAUAUAUAUAUAUAUAUAUAGAAGAUGCUUUAUUUCCAUAAAAUGGGCUCACAAGGAGAAUUAUAUAAUAUUAUAAUAUUAUUAUUUUACAAAUAUAAUAAACAAUACAGUAUACAAUGUACAUAGCACUUUACAAACACAAAUAAGAAACAACAGUUUUCAUAUAUAUAUAUAUUAUUAUGUAUAUAUAUAGGAGUAUACAUGUACAUAAAACCUUUGUAUCAGACACACCUCUAAAAAGUAACAAAAAAGAAUACUGUGAGUAGGCUGAAUAUAUCUAGCUGAACUGCAGGAGGCACCAAGGGACGGUGCUAUAUGGCAUGGUGGGUGCUUCUUAAAAUGUGUAUCAGGACAUUAAUGAUAUGGUAAGAUUAUAUAUUGUAAGAAGUUGCACAUAAAGUUCUGGUAUGUCAUUCCUCGGCCUGUGCAAGGGAGUCGUACUAUUUAAAGUGACACAACUGCAAGAGGCACCAAGGGACAAAGCAUUUAACAUGCCAAAGUGCCAUAUACGAAAAAGAUAAAAUUACCAGUUUAUCAAAAAUUCACUAACAGAAAGGUAAUACAUGUAAACUUAUACCGAUCCUAACCCCCAGCCAACCUAAUAAGAGCUAGUGCAUUAGUGCAGAAGCUGAUUUAAAUAUUUAUCUUUCAAGUUAUAUUUUGUCUUCAUCACUAACUCAUAGACAGAUAUUAGAUAUCAAGAUCUCUACAUUAAGAGCCACAUAGUUUUUAGCUAGGAAUCAAAUGCAUAAGUUUGGGCAAGUGAGUUAAUAGUUGGAAAUUUAACAAAUUCCUUAUCUUGAGAUGAUGUGCACGAUAUUUUUAUUCAUCUACUCUGGGAGCUGAUAAAGGUUAUGACCCUUAAACUCAUCCAAUCAUCUGCUGAGAUCACUGGCAACCACAUGUUGGUUAAAUUUUUUAUAUGCCCAUCAAAAUUUUGAAGGGACGUAUUAUGGUAUUCAAAUGUCUGUCUCCCGUCCACCCGACCAUCUGUCCAGUAUCCACAUGUUGCACCGUAACUAAAGAACCAUGCACUUAUUCAAAUUUCAUGAAACUUAAUACAGUUGUUUCUUAUGAUGGUCAAAUGGCCAAACGAUCUCUAUACCUUUUGGUGAAAAUAAGAUUUUAACUUUUUAAGUAAUUAGUAACUAAAACAUGGGGGUGUUUUGUUCACAUGUCGCACCGCCGUAUCUCAAAAACAAUUUAUGAUUAUUGUUUUGAACUUUACAACUUUUUAGUUAUAUUAUUCUAAAGAUCUGUACACUUUUUGGUGAUGAUUCAAAUUUUUUUUUAUAGUUGUUGAGUUUUUUGUAAAAAAAAAAAAAAUAGGGGGGGAGUGUUCACAUGUCACACUCUAUCUCAAAAACCAUCAAUUAUUAUUUCUUAAAACUUUACACACUUCUUAGUUAUAUUAAUAUAAAGAUCUGUAUUCUUUUUUAUGCCACACCUACAAUAGUAGAGGGGCAUUAUGUUUUCGUCCGUCCGUUCGUCCGUCUGUCCCGCUCCAGGUUAAAGUUUUUGGUCAAGGUAGUUUUUGAUGAAGUCGAAGUCCAAUCGACUUCAAACUUAGUACACAUGUUCCCUAUGAUAUGAUCUUUCUAAUUUUAAUGCCAAAUAAGAGUUUUUACCCCAAUUUCACGGUCCACUGAACAUGGAAAAUGAUAGUGCGAGUGGGGCAUUCGUGUACUGAGGAUACAUUCUUGUUGGUGAUGAUUCAAAAAUUUUUUUUUGGAGUUAUUGAGUUUUUGUUUAAAAAAAAAGAAGGGGGUUUUCACAUGUCGCGCUGUAUCUCAGAAACUAUUUAUUAUUGCAUAAAACUUCACACUAGACGAUGGGCGUAUCAUGCACUCAUUGUGCAGCUGUUAAUUAAUAAAAUGGGUGCGGAAAGGGAUUAAUUGUCAAAGAAUUAGAGGAAAAUAUAUGUAUUAUAUAGAAAGUUGCCAACUGCUAACAGAAGUUCAAGUUCUGGAUUUAAAAUUAAUUUUUACUUUAAAAGUGGUUGAUGAUUUGUAAUUUAAUCCAGAUGUUUAAAAUCAUCUGAUUAUUGAUUUUUAAGAAUGACUGAUCUUGUACAAUGUAUAUAUCUCUUAUAAUAAUGUGUUCAGUUUUAAACUUUACAUUCUUGAGAAAGUGCUAUAUUAAAUUUCUCUGUUUAGGAAAUGUACAAAGUGACUGUCUAGUUGGUAAAUAAAUUCAUCAUAGAUACCAGGGUUGGAAGUUUGACUUUUUGCCAGAUGCACGUUUCGUCUAUAAAAGACUAAUCAGUGUCAUUCGAUUAAAAAAAGGUUAAAAAAGCCAAAUAAAGUACGAGGUUGACAUUUGAUUCUGUUUAAAAAUUAACUCCUCUAUUUUUACUCAAGAUUUGUUUUGCUACUUGCAUUCUGAUGGGACUGUAAUACUGUGAAAGUACUUUUAUCCGUGGGAAACCAGUUUUCGUGGUUUUCGUGGAUGACUUUAUCCAAUUUCCUUCAAUCUAUACAACUUGUAAUCUUCGUUUAUAUUAUCUUCAAUUUUUUCCUUUUUUUUUUUUAGAAAACUAAAAUCCACGAAGUUAAAAACCAACGAACAUGUAAAUGUUGUUUAAACCCCGAAAAUUGAUACCCACGAAUUAAAGUACUUUCAAAGUAGAAGAAAUUCUAUUUAAUUAUAGUUAAGACCCAAUCUAAGACCUUUUCAGUAAAUAUGUCAUGUGAUAGAUUUUCUAAUUUUGCUAUAGUUUAUUUCAAACCAAAAGCAAUACAUGUACAGCUUAUAGGUAUAUCAUAAAUAUGUAACAUUGUAUAUGGCUGAACAUAUUAGUUUCAAAAUACUCAGUAACAAAUUUGAGACAGAAUAUUUUUGAUAGUCCAUAUAAAACAUUUCCACUCAAAGCAGCAGUUCCAGGCAAAGUUUUUAGACCAACUCUGCCAUUUUCAGUGCAUUUGUGCUUUGAUUUUAACAAAGAUGUAAACAAUAAAACUCAAUGUACUCUAAAACAUAUUUCAUUAACAGCAAAUGUAGCCUAAGAAUGUAACAUAAGAUGCAUAUAAAAUUUAUUAAAAAAUGAUUAACAAAUUGUGCUCAUUUAAUUUAUUUAAACAACAUGAACAUAUGGUGAAAACAAGAUGUUUGUAAUAUUUUGUAAAUUAAGAUUGAUCUGAACAAGAUAACCCCAUGCAUGAUGACCUUUUAAACAUGACUAACCAAUAUAUAGUUAUAUACUUGUAUAUAAAUGAUAAAUUUUUGAUAUAGAGCUUUACCUGUGUAUUUAUGAUGUAAGGGUAUAUCAUAUAGUAUAUAAUAUAUAUAAAUGGAUUAAAUGUUUAUUUUGAAUAACAAAUUAUUUAGAUCAAAGAAAGUCAUGUAUAUUUGCAUAAAAUUGUAAACAUAUCUCUUGGUUAACAGCCAAUUUAGAUUAAUUUUCAAGGGACUUAGAAAAAUUUUUACUACUUUUAUUUAAAUAAUAUAUAUUCAUGAUAUAUGUGCCAAGAUAUUAUAUAUUUGAACUUUUAUAAUCAUAAUAAAAAAAAAUAGUGUGCUUAUAUAUAAUAGAUUGUUAGAAAAUUAUUAGAAAUAAUUUCCUGAAAAAAAGUGGAAAAUUUCAAGACCUUAAUGCAGAUAAAAUGUUAAAUGUGUCAAUUCAGUUUCCAGUAUGUGAAAUAUCAAAUGUGGUGCUUAUAUUAUAAAUAUUUAAUAUAUAUCAAAUAGCAAAUCAUGAAAUUAAUGGCCAAAAAUUAAAAGAAAGAGAAAAAUAACCUAAAAUGUUAAGAUUACAGAAACAAAGUACCCAUUUCAGACACUGACAAACAUGUACAUGAUGUACAUGUAGUUAGAUUACUAAGUAAUCAUGUAUUAUGUAUCAAAUACUCUAUUAUUGGCAUCAUAAGUGUACACAUGAUACAUUUGACACAUGAAGUACAAUUUUAUGUGAAUGGCAUACUUGACAAAAGUAGAUUUAGCUAUUUAGUGUUGGUUUAUAUAUCAUUUGACAGUCAUCUCAAAUGAUGAAACAAUAUUACUUUUAUUAACAUAAGGACUCCUUGAUCAUGUUUAAUUUUUAGGUUUAAUAGGAAGUGACCUUGCAGUAUUGCAGUUAUACAAAUUUAUCAAUUAUUGUACUCAUGUACUCAGAACUUUCAACUAAUCAAAAUACUGGAUCAUAAAUGUUGUUCUCCAAGCACUAAGUAAAGUUUUAUGACAGAGAUCCAUGGCUUGAGUUUUUUUAUACAUAUUCAUAUGGAUAAAAAGGGGUUUGUAAACUGCUAAAACAUUAAAAAAGGUAAAUUUUAGGUUAUUUUGUCCUCAUCCUGCAUCUCUUUGUUAUACAAGCAAAAGAUAAUUGAUCUAUUGUUAAGAUUAAAUGUACAGGAAAAUCGUAUCAUUAUAAUUGGAAUUUCCUGUCUUUUUGUACAAUGUUGUAACUGUGCAAUUAUUGAAAAAUUAAAGGAAAAACACAAUGAUGUAAGGAAGUGUCUUUCCCCGUCAGUCGAGUAAUUUAUUGUUACAUUCAUGACUGUAUAAUUAAUUUUGAUAGAUAAUGAUCGAAUGCAUCUAGGUAAGUGAAUUUAUAAACUGCUCCGUAGCUAAAAAAUACACCAAAAAACAUAGUGCAUGGACUGUGACUGACUGACUUAAUAUUCAAGUCAUAUGUUAUUUGUUUUAACAAACCCAUUUUUUUCAGUUUCUGAAAAGUUAGGAACAUUACUGAUUAUAAUUAAGAGAUCAAAUAUUGCACAAAUCAUUUGGCAUAAUUUGUUGAUUCAAUAAAAUAAUAUAGGAAAAGUGUCACAAGUUAAUGAAUAGACAAUGAUAGAUGAGAGAAAGUGAAUAAUAAUUUGAAAUUCUUUUGCGCUGCAAGUUAAAAUAUACUUUCAAUCAAAAUGGGGUACAUAUGCUGGACAUCACAAUGAAAUUGGCAAUACAAGAUAUUUUUGUCGUCACAUUGCACUCCAGUUCUAGAUUUGAUAAACCCAAUAAGAAUUGGCCAGUUUUCAUUGAAUUCUAUAUUUCUUAUAACACUAUUGAUUUGUAACAUCAGCAUGAUUACUAGCACUCAAAAUAAUUUGUCAAUAGCAGAAAAUAUUGUUUAUUCUUAGCAUUACAUUGUUGUAUACUUUGAAAAGGGUAAAUGAUAUGUACAUCAGGGCUACUAUAGAUUUUACUUUUAUGAUUGAUUAGCUUCGGUAUAUAUAUAUAUAUAUAUUGAUUAUUAUAUCAUAAUGAUCAUUUAUAUGAGAGUUGUAAAGAGGGGGUAUGUGUAUUGACGAAAAGGAAAUAGAAAUUAGAAUGGCUAUUUUACAAUGAAUGAAAAAAAUAGAAAAAGCGUCAUGAUCAUUGGUUUUUCAACGAUUCACCUGAAACAAAGUGAAUAAUAAGUUUAACAAGCAUGAAAUCCUGUGAAUUAGAAAUUGAAUUUACCAUGAGCUCUAACAUGCCUAUAGCAUUAAGUAUUUCUUUUAAUAGCUCCAAACAAUACAUACAAUUAUUAUUUUCAUCUAAAAAUGUUUCAGUUAAUUAUUAUGCCUCUGCUGUUGGCGAAGAGGCAAAGAAUGUCAACCUUGACUUUCUGUCUAUCCUUCCUUCUGUCCUAAUUUCCAUUUGCUUGAAGCUUCAACAGGGGCAUUCCUGUCCUCUUACACAUUCUUUUAUUUUUAUCAAUAGUACCCAGCAAUCAAUCAUAUCACAGACUUGUAGAUUUUUUUCUUUAAUGAAUGAUAUAUAUGACUGGCAUCUGAAUUAAAAGCCAUCAUGGUUAUAUAUAUAGGUUCAAAGAUAUAAAAAAAAAUCAUGGUUAUAUAGGGCAAAGCUAAAUUUUCUGUAAAGCAAAUGCUCUCAAAGAUUUUAUGUAUAGUAUUUUAAUUUUAUUUCAGAAAAUCCCAAUGAUUCC
rnacentral:lncRNA from 1 species